CAAUUAUCCUCAUUCCAAUCAUUGGAAUUCUUCACACAGAACUGCCAUGCACAUUACGGUGUUUCACACAAACACAGACUGAUUCUCUCUGCUCAACUACAAUCAGAUUUCAGCAUUCAAUCUUUCUUCUUCUCAAAUAAUACCAAUCACAUUUCCAUUCCAUAAUUUACUUCACAAUAUUCAGAAACUCUCAAUCCUCUUAUUCAAAGAAAAUAACAAACAAAAGAAAAGAGGUAGCACCAAGCUUAUCCCGGCUCACAACUAUCACAGCAAUGGCCCUUGGCUCAUGACUAUCAUAGUCUCGCACCUUAAUUAACUUCUACAACUUCUAUAUACUUUCCCUUGAUUCUCCAAAUUUUAACCGUAAUUCUGUAAUUAAUCGCUUUUAAGAACUAAAUCACUCAUCUGUCCUCUUGAAUUUCCUAUUAUAUGGACUAUUAAUAUAUUUUAUCAAUAUCUUUCAAAAAUGAAUUAAUAUCUAUUCUACAUAGCCCCACUCCUAUCUGUGCAGCAUCCUCGCAAACACUUAAUUGAUACCUAUCUAAAAAUUAUCUAACAAAAUUCUACAGAAAUUGCGAUCCCUCUAGCCUAUCUAAUUAAUCAAUUACUGUAGUAUCUGUUAUUGGUUCCACCAAUUCCGGUUCCAACUGUAACUCCUCUUCUUCUUCUUCCAGUCCAUCGACUCUUUCUUCAACUGGUUUGAUAGAUCUUUAUUAUACUCACCCAGUACAUGGACUUGAGCUUCCAAUUUUAAGAUCUGGACAUCCCAAAGUUCUAAUUUUUGUUGCUGCUCAUCUAUUCUGAAACAUCUUCAAUGGAUACUUGUGAUCGGUUCCUCACUGUUAGCUCUUAACUGGAACUACUACUCUCGAAAAUACAAGAAAUAUAAGAAAAUGGCACUCUAGUCAAUCCAAAACAACACCACAAAACGACUUUAACUGGUGCCCCACUCCUAUUCUUUUACUACUUGGUGAUAAUGACAACAUGUUAUCCAUACUGUCUGUGAAAGGUAAUUAGAAGUAAUCUUUCUUGAUGGCCACAUUAAGUUUUCGGAAAUCCUGAUAAAUUCGGAUUUUUUCAUUCUUUUUUGGCACCAUCACAAUUGGCGACACCCAUGUACUAUGCGGAACAUCAUAAAUAAAAUCCACGUCGAGAAGUUUAUCCAAUUCUUCUUUCACUAAAAAGAAAUAUUUUGGAUCAAACUGGUGUUGUCUUUGACAAACUGGCGUAACGUCCUCCUCCAAAAUAAUCUGGUGCUCACAUAUGUCAAUUGGAAUCCCUUUCAAAUCUGCAUACGACCACGCAAAGGCAGAUUUGUGAUGGAUGAAAAACUAUUUCCAAGCAUCCAAUUCCGUACCGAUAAUACUGGCAUAUAUUUUAAUUAGCUGUGGCAUUUCGUUGGUGCCCAAGUUAAUGGAUUGACACACAGGGUCUUCAACAACCUCUGAUUUAAUUGUCUUCUCCUGAUCUGAAUAUCUUGUAUUAUCCGACAUAUAAGAACCAUCCAAAUCUGAUUCCAAUGUGUUGACUCUAUUGACUACAAAAUUAUUCAUCUAUUUGGUAAUAGCAUGAUCCGAGUUAGUCGCAUCCUCUUGAUGCAGUAAAUAUUCACCGAGACCUCCACAUUGGUAGACUCUUGCCUUUACUGUUGAAGUAUUUUUUCCUACCCCAAAUUGUGGUGAACCUAUAGCAUCGUCAUCUGCCUCAAUCGAUUGACUCUCGUUGUCCAAUAUAAAUUCUGAUUCUGGCAAUUGAGAUUAUCCAUGAUAUUAUACUGGAUACAUCUGUAAAACAAUCUGGUCAUGGCCUUUUCCAAUUGUCAAUGUACCUCGACUCCAAUCGUUCUUAGCUUUGGCUUGAUAAAGCCAAGCUCUGUCCAAUAAAAUGGGAUACGAUAACAUAGAACUCUGUAAUCAGAAUACAAUAUAAUCAAUUUUGUAUGUCAAUCCCACAAUUACAGUAGCAAUAUUUCGUAAAAUUCCCAUUGGCUUUAUCCGACUAUGAUCAGCCAUUCGCAAGGCCAAUGUUGUUGGUAGCAAUUGCUUUAGAUGCAAGUCCUCUAUUAUAUCCGCAUUCAUUAAAUUCACACAGGAGCCACCAUCAAGUUGUACCCUUGGAAUUCAAAUACCAUCGAUUGAUACAUCGAUUGUUGGUGCUCCCGGAUCUAGGUUUAAGCUAACUUCAUGAAUUUCUUUAGUGUGGGAUCUUCAUCGUGUUAGCGCUGAAUUCAAUGUAAAUCGAUAUUUAGGUGCUAUAGCCAAAAGUUGCUUCAUUAUAAUUGAAGGCUUAAUAACAUCCAAAUCCUUCAGAAUGUCGUAGGGUUCCAUAUUGAGAGUAAUUCCUAAUGCUCUUUUGCGUUUCAUUGAUUUGAGUUUAAAUCCGUGAUGUAAAAUAGUCUUCCGCCCUGGACUCAAAAUUGGAACAGCAGCAAGAACUUCCUUGGAAUUCUUACCCUCGAGAGGAUCUUUCAAUGGAUAGGAUGUUUCUCAAAACUACGUAGAGAUUGGAACUGCUUGGAACGAAAUCAAAGCCUCUAUAAUUGGAACCUCAUUGGGUUGUACCACUGAGUCAGGUCUCAUACUGGGUACGAAGCCCAUAAUAGGACCUGGAUUGAAUGGUCCACGCAAAUUGGUACGUGGAACCAAAUUAGGUUCCUUAGUCUCUUGAGGUCUCAAUAUUGAGAUACGUCCCAAUACUGAUAUUGGUUCAUUUAGCCCUAUGGACGACACUACUUGCUCUCCUGUGAUUGGUUCAUCCAUGUCUUGAAUUACAUUCUUAUCUUUUUGUUGGCCUCUGGUAAGCACUGCGUUCACUACCUCGAUACGAUGUACUGGUGCGUCUCAUUGAACAGGGCCUUUGUCCUCCGCCAGUUGGCUUAUUUGCAUUUGCUGGUCCCAAUUAUUAUAAUUAAAGGGCGCAUUACACUGCUGAUAAGUGUGACCAGACUGCUUACAAUUUCCACAUAUUGGAGUAUAGUCAUCACUGGCUCUGGGAUUGCGACAUUUGUUGGCAUAAUGACCAAUCUGUUUGCAACAAAAACAACGAAGUGGUCUCCUGCCAACUCCUUCAAGGAUAUUAGGUGUCUCUAUUGGUAUAUAACAGCUAGGUCUGUUCCAUGUCGGAUGAGUAAAGGAUCCUGGUUGAUCCAUUGUUACUGUAGAGUCUAGCAUUGGCUUCAUCAUGGGUGGAUAUUGAUGGUAUCUUGGUUGGUUCAUCACCAAUCCGUAAGUAUUAGAUACACCUUUUUGGUGAAAUUAAGAGUUUAAAAAAUUUGAAUAAUUCUUGUUUUGUUUAUUCGCUCGAUUUCCAUUCUAGCCAAACCUAUUAUUCAUCUGUACUUAAUUGACAUCCUACGAAGUUGGUUGAGUCAUAAUCUGGUUACUGAGUUGUUUUUGCUUCCAUAAAUUCCAAUAGUUGGUGAUAAUAUGCUUGCCCCCACAAAAGGUACAUUGUAUAGUCAUUUGGAGUAGUGAAGGACAUUUUGUUACUAAAUGACCUUGUCGCUUACAAUUGCUGCACCAGACAUUGGGACACAUAUUGGUUGGUUUAUACUUUUUUUCUUUAUCCUUGGCCAGAUUCACAGCCAAUUCAUCCAUUUUUUUUGUCAAUGUUAACAGCAAUGACUCAUUGGAAUCUCUUGAUACUAAUGCCUUUGGCAAUUCCUUCGUAGGUAUUAGUUUUUGAUGCACUGAAUAAGGUACAUACGGAUGUGAUGAUGAUGGUGGUACAGCUUGCAAUGGAACGGCAUCCACUAUUCCCUAUGGAUUUGUACCAUAAUCAUUCCUUCUCAGAUAACCUUCCCAUGCGUUGUCGGGGUAGAGAGGUUUUGCCUCAAGAAAGCACUGAGCUUCUGGCUAUCACUAAUUGCUCAAUCAAGCUUAAAAUAAGGAAAACCUAAUUUUAUAUAUAUAAGUUCUCCUUUUGGGACAAUUACACCAAAUACUUAAGUCUUAAAUAACCAACAAUACCCAAAAUAUGGUAGAAGUACUCUAAAACCUUGUAUUUCCUUGUGUGGAAAUUCUCCCAAACCUCAAUACCUCAUAACUCUUGAUCCAACCGUCUAAACAAGAUCAAAAUGUACAUAAAGUACUGAUAUGUUGUUAUUAAUUUGUACAACAAAUUUCAAUCGCAAAUUCGUUGUGAAUCUUGAGAUAUCUUCAAAACCCUAACAGUCGCUAUAAACCCUAAUUUUUAUAUAUCCAUGCACAAUUUUCUUUAUAUCUCACAAACCAUAAGUUCAAAUGCCACAAAACUUGUAUAGAUACAUUUUCAACACAAAUUUUUACAUUCUAUCAAAGUUUGAGCCAAAAUUUCGUUCGAAAAUUCAAGUUAUGGCUCCUAACACUACUUUGAACAAAACCGCUCACUUACUGCCUUUGAUUUGAAUGCGCUGUCUUUAACUCCCUAUAACUCCUUCAUAUAAACUCCAAAUGCAAAAUUUCCUUCGCAAAAGAUGUAUGAAUUGAAGUUGCCCUUCCAGCCGCACCUUCCGAUCUCCAAAAGCUUCCGUAACACUCCUCUUAAACUCAAAAGAGUAACAGUAGGUCUCAAAUUGACAUCUUAACUUCAAACGGCUAUAACUUAUUCACCCUAACUCCAAAUCCUAUAAAAUUUGUACAAAAAUUGUAGCCAAAACCCUAACUUUACAACCCUUGCCUUUGAUUUCCUAAUGGCCUCUUUGAAGUCGCCGAAACCCUUAUUAAGGUCGCGGGCAGCCUCCUAAAAGCCCAUUGGGCAUGGAUUUCGACCAAUGGGGAUGAAGAUCCUUAUUUCUACCUUCAUCCAACCAUGCCUUGGUUUCAUCCCUCUCAAUUAACCUCCUAUUAGUUUAAAUCUUCAUCUUUAGGCCCCUAUCUCCUCUCAAGGCUUUAUACUUAACAUUAAGGUUCUAUAACUUUUAUAUACUAUAAUCAAAUUAAGUAAGGAAAAUAAAAUAAAGUUUUCUCUACCAACUCUUUUUAAUUUAAUCUAUUAUCCACUCUAACAUACAUUUAGAUUUAUUAACAUUUAAUGUGUUCUAACUAAUUUUUACAUACUAUAAGCAUUUAUACUACGAUAACGUCAUUCCAAUUUGUUAUUUGAUAACCUCCUUGAGAUGGAAUCAUCGUGGCUCCAAUUGUUAAGUUUUGGUCAUAGUGAUAUUCUUCCCACACUUUUGGUUACUCAAAAGAUGAUGCAAUGGUGGCUGAUUGGGCCUCCUUUACAAACAUCUUCAAUUCUGGUAGGUGUAGUCCAUUAAUCAAUAUGGACAACACAAACGAUUCCGGCAUUUGGUUAUUUGUCCAUUUUCAAAGUAUAUUUGCUACACGACCAUAAUAUGACUAUACUGCUUCCCCUGGUACCAUUCUGCUAUUUAUUAAUUUUUCUCUAAGACGUUCUUCAAAACCAAUUGGUCGAAAAUGGGCUAAAAAUGUAUUUUUCAAUGCCUCCCAAUUGAUAAAUUGUUCCACAAGUUGGCGGUUAUACCACUCAAACACUAUGUCUUUCAAUGUCGCUGGUAGCCAUCUCAAUCAAAUGUCUUCUAUUCUUCCAUUAUUAGCUACACAUGUUGUAAGAAACUGAGAAAAAUGUUGAUCGGGAUCCGCAUCCAAAAAUCCCCAAAAAAUAGGUAGUGACUUGAUACUAGUCGUUCGAUUGUCCACUACAUCCAUUUGUACUGCAAUCGGAAUGAUUGGUCCUGUAGACGUCAUUAAAGAUGCCGGUGUUCCGCUUAAUUCCUUAUUAAAAUAAAAACUAUCUUCCGUAAAAGUCUUUUUCGGACUUCCAGGCCUUCCCGAUUGACUAUUAUUAUCUCCAAAUAAUUUUACUGGUUGAAUAUGAGGUGAAUACAACAGGUUUUGAUAUACUCUAAAUUGGUCUUUAUUAGCAAGUGAUUUAUUUCGAUCUUUAGAACCACUCUUGUUAGGAUCAGACGUAUUUCUAAUUGAGAAAAUACCCAGUGGGGUACCUAAUUCCUCUGUGCCUUCCUCGUUUUCCAUUAACGACUUUGAGAGGUAUGCUGGACUAUUAGCAGCACUCCUUGCGAGUGUUCUUGGCAAUUUCUUUAACGGUAUGUACUUCUGAAAUAUUAGAGGUCGAUCGCCUUUUGGAUAUGAUUGAAUAUACCGACAGACAGGCAACCACGGCGUAAUCCAUUUUUAUCAAUGCUUCUUUUUCAAUUCACGAUCUUGCUCAUUAUGCAAUAAAUUUCUCGCUUUCAAUCACUCUAUUCUUUUCUUUGAUUGCUUUAUUCUCUUUGUUGUUAAAUUCUCAUUCUUAAUAACCAUACUCUUUCAUUAUUUCUACUAAGUUUACUUCUUAAUCUCCUUUACUGCUUCGAUAGUUAAUUCCUAACAUUCAAUAAUGUUGUCAAUACCCAACAGCGGCGCCAAAAUGUGAUUGCUCGUUUUGCUUAUUCUGGAAGAAACCUCCAAGAAUAAAUCUGUAUAGGGAGAUUCGAAUAUGGGGAAUGACUAGUUGCUUAAGCGUUUACGUCAGGGUCAUACAAUCAAUUACUUCCUGAAUAUAUCGUCUCUAUUUCCAAUAUCUAAAUACACAAGGAAACUAUAAUCUUCUCCUUCACCUUAUCAGUCUCUUCCUUACAGCAAUUCAGUCAUACCAAUAACUGCUAUUUCUACCAAUAUAUUCACCCUCAUAAUCUCCAACUGUAAUACUGUGCCCUCACAGCUUUCAGUACAUAAUUAUCUUCAUUCCAAUCAUUGGAAUUCUUCACACAGAACUGCCAUGCACAUUACGGUGUUUCACACAAAGACAAACUGAUUCUCUCUGCUCAAUUACAAUCAGAUUUUAGCAUUCAAUCUUUCUUCUUCUCAAAUAAUACCAAUCACAUUUCCAUUCCAUAAUUUACUUCACAAUAUUCAAAAACUCUCAAUCCUCUUAUUCAAAGAAAAUAACAAACAAAAGAAAAGAGGUAGCACCAAGCUUAUCCCGACUCACAACUAUCACAG
rnacentral:lncRNA from 1 species